rnacentral:rRNA from 1 species
CCUACGGGUGGCAGCAGUCGAGAAUCAUUCACAAUGGGGGAAACCCUGGUGGUGCGACGCCGCGUGGGGGAAUGAAGGUCUUCGGAUUGUAAACCCCUGUCAUGUGGGAGCAAAUUAAAAAGAUAGUACCACAAGAGGAAGAGACGGCUAACUCUGUGCCAGCAGCCGCGGUAAUACAGAGGUCUCAAGCGUUGUUCGGAAUCACUGGGCGUAAAGCGUGCGUAGGCUGUUUCGUAAGUCGUGUGUGAAAGGCGCGGGCUCAACCCGCGGACGGCACAUGAUACUGCGAGACUAGAGUAAUGGAGGGGGAACCGGAAUUCUCGGUGUAGCGGUGAAAUGCGUAGAUAUCGAGAGGAACACUCGUGGCGAAGGCGGGUUCCUGGACAUUAACUGACGCUGAGGCACGAAGGCCAGGGGAGCGAAAGGGAUUAGAUACCCGUGUAGUC